rnacentral:rRNA from 1 species
ACUCAAAUGAAUUGACGGGGGCCCGCACAAGCGGUGGAGCAUGUGGAUUAAUACGUCACUAACCGUAGAACCUUACCCAGACUUGACAUCCCAGGAAGUCCCCUGAAAGGGGGAUGUGCUUCGCAAGAAGAGCCUGGAGACAGGUGUUGCAUGGCUGUCGUCAGCUCGUGUCGUGAGAUGUUGGGUUAAGUCCCGCAACGAGCGCAACCCUCACCGUAUGUUGCCAGCGCGAAAGGCGGGAACUCUUACGGAACUGCCCGGGCAACCGGGAGGAAGGUGGGGACGACGUCAAGUCAGCAUGGCCCUUACGUCUGGGGCUUCACACAUGCUACAAUGGCCGGUACAGAGGGUCCCGAGGCCGCGAGGCGGAGGCAAUCCCACAAAGCCGGUCCAAGUUCGGAUCGCAGGCUGCAACUCGCCUGCGUGAAGCCGGAAUCGCUAGUAACCGCCGGUCAGCUAAACGGCGGUGAAUACGUUCCCGGGCCUUGUACACACCGCCCGU